rnacentral:lncRNA from 1 species
CAUCUGUUUCAUUGACGCCCAUUGCAUCUUCAAGGGCUACCCAAGUAAGACCGUCAUCACCAUAAACCCACUCAUUGGCCGGUCCUUCCUCUCCACAUAUCCAUUCGGAGUUAUAGUUUAUGUCUUCAGCUGCUAUGGAGUCGUCUUGACAAUCUAGCUUGCGUUGCAAUUGUCGUUCAUUCAAUCGCUUGUUGUAGUGAAUGUAGAC